rnacentral:rRNA from 1 species
GGUCUCGCCUGCCCAGUGAACACUCUUUAACGGCCGCGGUAUCCUAACCGUGCAAAGGUAGCAUAAUCACUUGUCCCCUAAAUAGGGACUAGAAUGAACGGCUAUAUGAGGACUAACCUGUCUCUUAUGGGCAUUCAAUGAAACUGAUCUCUCAGUCCAAAAGCUAAGAUACUUACACCAGACGAGAAGACCCUGUGGAGCUUCCAAACCAAUACCAAUACCCAUGGUUAUACGGUUUUUAGUUGGGGCGACUUCGGAGAACAAAAAAACCUCCAACUAGGAAAUCCUCCUAAUUAAGAUUUACACAUCUAAAUAUUUACUUGACCCAGUAGGCAUUUCCCCAUCUGAUCAAGGAACCAAGUUACCCCAGGGAUAACAGCGCCAUCCUCUUUCAGAGUCCCCAUCGACAAGAGGGUUUACGACCUCGAUGUUGGAUCAGGACAUCCCAAUAGUGCAACCGCUAUUAAAGGUUCGUUUGUUCAACGAUUAAAGUCCUA